UCGACCUCAGAUCAGG
rnacentral:rRNA from 1 species